GGGAGAGCGCAUAGGUUUUGAGCUGCAUUGGGCGAACGCACCUUCCUUCAAUUAGAAACAUGAGCAGAGAAAACACUCAGUUUUUCAGACUUGUGCUACAUGGGAUCAUCAGGAGGUUGUGGUGUGCAAUAAGAAGUACGGACACCCAUGCAGGAAAACUGUGACUUGCCACCAUCCUGUAUUGGGCCAUUGAGACGUGUGUUGCUGCUGCGGGUUUCAGUGUUGGACAAUUUGCUGCCCUGGUUUUUUCUGGUGCCAUGAACUAUGCAGAAG